AUUGAACGCUGGCGGCAGGCCUAACACAUGCAAGUCGAACGAGUGGCGGACGGGUGAGUAAUGUCUGGGAAACUGCCCGAUGGAGGGGGAUAACUACUGGAAACGGUAGCUAAUACCGCAUACCAUCGGAUGUGCCCAGAUGGGAUUAGCUAGUAGGUGGGGUAACGGCUCACCUAGGCGACGAUCCCUAGCUGGUCUGAGAGGAUGACCAGCCAACAGGGAACUGAGACACGGUCCAGACGCCUACGGGAGGCAGCAGUGGGGAAUAUUUGACAAUGGGCGCAAGCCUGACGCAGCCAGGCCGCGGGGUUGAAGAAGGCCUUCGGGUUGUAAAGUACUGUUAGCGAGGAGGCGUUACUCGCAGAAGAAGCACCGGCUAACUCCGUGCCAGCAGCCGCGGUAAUUC
rnacentral:rRNA from 1 species